rnacentral:lncRNA from 1 species
CAGCGCACCCGCUCCUGCCCUUGCCGCGGCCUCUGCCAGGACCCCGACACCCCUCCCGACCCUACCCUCAAGCGGGGCUGCGGCCUCACCAUCUGCAACAGCCGCUCCGUCCGGCAUUUGGCGUGCUCCCCGGGGCAGACGCCGCGGUGUCCUCAGUCUGUGGCACCAGCCUGCGACCCCCACGCCCGGCUCCGGCCCAGAGGGGGAGGGCGCUGCUCCCGGCAAGCCCAGGAAAGUCAGGGGCCUAUGUGAGCCAAAGAGGAGAGAAGGCGAUGCUUUAGCCCAUUGUUUCUGCCCCGCCUGGCUUGUGGCCUUGGGGACUUGAUUUGCACCACAGGAUAAAGGGCAAUGAAAGCCCCUCCCUGACUGGCUUCUCACUCCACUCUGACCAGCCCAUCGCACAGCGCCCACCCUGCAGCUCCAGGUACAGCCUGUGCACCUGCAGCUCCAGGUACAGAGGCUGGGCUGGUUCUGGGCUGACCUCAGGGCCUUCUGAUGGUUCCAACCCUCGGGAUGCCUCAUGCUCACCCCUUGGCACCCACCUGACAGCUCAGCAUGUCUGCUGUAUGCCAUCCUCAAUGCCUGCUCUAGACAAGCCUAAGUCCCCCAGGAGUGGCAGAGGGAACUGAGCUGGGAACUAAGUCCCAGCUCACUGAACCCCAAGUGGGCCUCCCACUUUAGGUCACAGCCCCAGGCAAGUUCCCUUCAGGGAUGUGAUCCCAGGGGCCACAGCAGCACGUUCUGGCCUAACCUAUUCACUACUCAAUUAAACAGUUACUGAACAGGCCAGGAUGGGCAUGGGCCCUGACAUUAAUCCCCUUUUUCUGUGAGGGGGCUGGGUUGGGUUUGCCAUCCUGAUGUCUUUGUGGAAAGAGCUGGCAGGUGGAGCAAGUCUCAGGGGCCAGCCAUAGGACAGGGAACCUAGGAUUCGCCUCUGAUGGAACCCUGUGAGGCCCCUGCAGGCAGGAGGGUCCAAUGGAGGUCCAAGCACCUCUCCCAGCUUGGUGUUCACAGCCCCUCCCUGGCCCACUCCCUCUACAUUUGCACCUGCUGGUCUCUGGGAGGGGAGCAUCCAUCCAUCUUCUGCAUGUAGCUUUCUGCUGCAUUUCCAUGAGGAUGGUCUCCUUGAUAGAAUGCCCAGCACGGUGUCCUGAGCCUGUGCUGGCUGUUCUCUAAGUGCCAAAGUCAGUGAGAGGGACUUGAAAACUCAAGACUUAUUAACAUUAUUUUCUGGUAAAG